CCAAGAAGUAGGGAGCUGUGGGUUUCAACGCUUACCUAGCAAUCCACACGGCUGUAGCAGUGUCUGCAGUUAGCAGACUCUGCCAUCCAGUGGGGAAACAUUAACAGAGUUACCCAGCCUUUCGAAGGGGACUAGAGUAGGCUCCUGGAAUUGAAAACUCUGAUUAAAACCCCUUGAGGCAUUUUUUUACAGUGCAGCUUUCUGGGCCUUGACCCUAUCAUUCUAAUUGAUGAGUCUGUGGUGGUUUGCAAGAAUCUGCAACUUUAACAAGCACCCCCUUCCUCCACUGAUUCUACAAAAGGGGUCCACGUUCAGACACCCCUGUCCAGUCCCCAGGGUAAGUCACAUGCUCAGCCCUCCCGGCUCCCCUCCCUUGCUGUCCAGGUUGGAAAAUGAACAACAGGAACUCCAGGUGGAAAACUUCAAGAGGUUCUCAAAGCAGACUGCAGUAGCUACAAGGAAGUUCUGCACAGAUGACGUCCAGCCCUGGCAGUAAUGAGCUUCUGUUAGCAGUCCCUUGGCAGUGUUCUUAGUGCACUUAGUCCCUGCUCUUAGUGCAAAAUCCAUCUGGGAAGACGCCGCCUUCCAUGUGCAGCUGGCAGGUGGGAAGCCCCCAGCAGGCAAGCCCUGAUUGUCCAGAGCAUCUGGUUACGAGAGACCGCACCCCUCCGGGGUCCCUUUACAACCUGUACUGCAGCAGAUGGACGUGACUGUACACAGCCUGUCCGUGAGAGAUGUUUCCUGCCUUUGCAAGGUUACACUGCUUCUGGCAGCAUGGAUGAUGAGCCUGAUCUGGGCAAAUCACUCAAUUUCCUGGUUCUUUGGAACUUCCAGAUACUAUGUGGUGCGGGGUGUGGACAGGUACUGCCUGGUACCCUGGGGGGCCACAGUGAAUGCUUGUGCCAGAGCUCACACUGAUUACCCAAGGACCCCGCUUCUUCCUAAUGUCUCUUGCAGUGAGGCUGGCCACAUCCUGGAGUUCCAGCCCCAUAAGAGAUGUGCUCACCUCCCAGCCUGGACAUAACCCACCUCACGGACUUUCCCAUUUUCAUUCCCAUCUCCUCGAUGGGAGGAGGGGACCCUCUCCCCAGGGUACAUCAUGGAGGAGACAGCUUUGUCUGUCAGGCCCUGAAUGACUGGUUAUGUGAGAAAUAAAUUGCUCAUGUGGGCACCAAAACUCAGAGUCUGUUUGAGGAUUAGCUAUGUUAACACAGUACCAGCUGGCAGCCUUGCAAAUGGCUCACCCUAGUGAUGCCACUAUUUUCUGUGCCAUAUACAGCCUUCCCAGGGCAGGAAGCUGAAGAAACUAUUUUCCCUAUACCCUGUCCAUCCAAACGGAGUGGACCUGUGCUUUGCCCUCUUGUUAGGAAUCCAGAUUACAAACAAGAUGGCUACUCCUUCUGUAAACAGAAAGCAAAGGUGUGAGUUGGAACUUUGUCUGGUCUUACAGUCAUCAAGUAGAUUACUCACAGUAAUCAAGCUCUUGAUACAAGUACCUGAGAACUGAACUCAGGGCUGUUAGAGCCUGUACUUCAGCUAGUUUUAGGAUGCAAAGUGGCCACCACCAUGUCAUCUCCAA
ensembl:lncRNA